CGCGGAGUGGAGAAGUGGUAUCUCGUCGGGCUCAUAACCCGAAGGUCGUUGGUUCGAUUCCAACCUCCGCAACCA
rnacentral:tRNA from 1 species